UACGGAGGGGGCUAGCGUUGUUCGGAAUUACUGGGCGUAAAGCGCACGUAGGCGGCUUUGCAAGUUAGAGGUGAAAGCCCAGGGCUUAACCCUGGAAUUGCCUUUAAAACUGCAUCGCUAGAAUCGUGGAGAGGUGAGUGGAGUUCCGAGUGUAGAGGUGAAAUUCGUAGAUAUUCGGAAGAACACCAGUGGCGAAGGCGACUCACUGGACACGUAUUGACGCUGAGGUGCGAAAGCGUGGGGAGCAAACAGG
rnacentral:rRNA from 1 species